GUUCCCAUAGUUAAAUUUUUUAACGGUGGUUUUUCAGGCCACAAAUCCUGGAGAGAGGCCAGGUGGGAAUU
rnacentral:tRNA from 1 species